rnacentral:rRNA from 1 species
UACAGAGGGUGCAAUCGUUGCUCGGAAUUAUUGGGCGUAAAGCGCGUGUAGGCGGCUUGUUAAGUCGGUUGUGAAAACCCAUGGCUCAACCAUGGAAGGGCGUCCGAAACUGGCAAGCUAGAGUCCCGACGAGGAUGGCGGAAUUCCCAGUGUAGAGGUGAAAUUCGUAGAUAUUGGGAGGAACACCGGUGGCGAAGGCGGCCAUCUGGGAGGGCACUGACGCUGAGACGCGAAAGCGUGGGGAGCAAACAGG